rnacentral:rRNA from 1 species
GACGAACGCUGGCGGCGCGCUUAACACAUGCAAGUCGAGCGAGAACCGGACCUUCGGGUCCGGGGAAAGCGGCGAACGGGUGAGUAACACGUGGGUAACCCACCCUUGGUACUGGGAUAGCCCGGGGAAACCCGGAUUAAUACCGGAUGGCCCAACAGCUCUUCGGGGCGGUUGGAAAAGGUAGCUUCGGCCUCCGACCAAGGACGGGCCCGCGGCGGAUUAGCUUGUUGGGGGGGUAACGGCCAACCAAGGCGACGAUCCGUAGCUGGUCUGAGAGGACGAUCAGCCACACUGGGACUGAGACACGGCCCAGACUCCUACGGGAGGCAGCAGUGGGGAAUCUUGCGCAAUGGGCGAAAGCCUGACGCAGCGACGCCGCGUGGGGGAAGAAGGCUUUCGGGUUGUAAACCCCUUUCAGGAAGGACGAAGCCACUCGGGUGAAUAGCCCAGAGGGUGACGGUACUUCCAGAAGAAGCCCCGGCUAACUACGUGCCAGCCGCCGCAGUAA